CGGCACCUUGGGAGGAUUUCCCUACCCCACAGUGUCUGACCAUGAGCUGUUUACAGUAUCUUGUCUCAGGCAAACGUCUGGAGCAACCUGAAAACUUUUUCCGAUGAACUGUACACACUGAUGGAGAUCUGCUGGAGUCUCAGCGUGGAUGAACGUCCAACCUUCAAGGAAAUCCUGUUCCAGCUGGACUCCAGUCCCCGGAAAGGAGCGUGUACGUCGAGUUCCGGCCUUGACACCAGUUCCCGCCAACUCAACAAACCUCUUCAUCUACUAUUUCUACUGUCACCACUCUUGUAUAAAUGUGAUAUUUUCAUCUCAUAACUGUUUAUAUUAAAAUCUUGUUGUUAUUUAUUAUA